rnacentral:rRNA from 1 species
AGCCUGCCCAGUGAUAAAAUUCAACGGCCGCGGUAUCCUAACCGUGCGAAGGUAGCAUAAUCACUUGUUCUUUAAAUAGGGACUUGUAUCAACGGCACCACGAAGGCCAUACUGUCUCCUUUCUCCAAUCAGUGAAACUGAUCUCCCCGUGAAGAAGCGGGGAUUAAACUAUCAGACGAGAAGACCCCAUGGAGCUUAAAACUCAUCAUACACCUCUGUAUCCCUGUAUCAAUUUAAUUAAGAAAUUUGUAUGCUAGUUUUCGGUUGGGGGGACCUCGGAGUAUAAUAUAACCUCCGCAACAAAUGGGCUAACACCCUUAUCCACGAAAAACACCUCUAAGAAUUAUUAAAUUAAUGUUUAAUGACCCAAUAUUUGAUCAAUGAACCAAGUUACCCUGGGGAUAACAGCGCAAUCUACUUCAAGAGUCCCUAUCGACAAGUAGGUUUACGACCUCGAUGUUGGAUCAAGGUAUCCUAGUGGUGCAACCGCUACUAAUGGUUCGUUUGUUCAACGAUUAAAACCUUACGUGAUCUGAUUCCAGACC